rnacentral:tRNA from 1 species
AGCCCGGUGGUGUAGAGGUCAAGCAUACCGGCCUUUGGAGCCGGUGACCCCAGUUCGAAUCUGGGCCGGGCUA